AUGUUGCAGGAGGAUGGGGGUAUUGAUGAAGAUGUGAACCAUCGAAUCAAAGCUGGAUGGAUAAAGUGGCGCCAAGCUUAUGGCAUUCUCUGUAACAAGAGAGUGCCACAAAAGUUAAAAGGCAAGUUCUACAGGACGGCGAUUCGACCCGCAAUGUUGUAUGGCGCGAAGUGUUGGCCGACUAAAACGCGACAUGUUCAACAGUUAGGUGUGGCGGAGAUGCGUAUGUUGAGAUGGAUGUGUGGCCACACGAGAAAGGAUCGAGUCCGGAAUGAUGAUAUACGAGAUAGAGUUGGGGUAGCACCAAUUGAGGAGAAGCUUGUCCAACAUCGUUUGAGAUGGUUUGGGCAUAUUCAGCGCAGACCUCCAGAA
rnacentral:rRNA from 1 species